rnacentral:rRNA from 1 species
GACGAACGCUGGCGGCGUGCCUAAUACAUGCAAGUCGAGCGGACGGAUGGGAGCUUGCUCCCAGACCGUCAGCGGCGGACGGGUGAGAAACACGUGGGCAACCUGCCUGUAAGACUGGGAUAACUCCGGGAAACCGGGGCUAAUACCGGAUAACUCUUUCCCUCACAUGAGGGAAAGCUGAAAGAUGGCAUCUCGCUAUCACUUACAGAUGGGCCCGCGGCGCAUUAGCUAGUUGGUGAGGUAACGGCUCACCAAGGCGACGAUGCGUAGCCGACCUGAGAGGGUGAUCGGCCACACUGGGACUGAGACACGGCCCAGACUCCUACGGGAGGCAGCAGUAGGGAAUCUUCCGCAAUGGACGAAAGUCUGACGGAGCAACGCCGCGUGAGUGAUGAAGGUUUUCGGAUCGUAAAACUCUGUUGUCAGGGAAGAACAAGUACCGGAGUAACUGCCGGUACCUUGACGGUACCUGACCAGAAAGCCACGGCUAACUACGUG